CUCCCCUGCUUGCGCUCUGUCUCUCUCUCGGUCUCAAAAAUAAACAUUAAGAAAAAUAUACGGGAGGCUGUUUACAAUGUAAAUAGAAAAAGCAGGUUAUAAAAUAAGAUGCAUAGGGUGGUUCUAAUUGCAAAUACGAUUGGGAGAAAAGACAUCAAAAUGUUACAAGUGGUUAUCAUUUUGUGACAGUGUCAUGAAUUGUUAUGGGCCCUUUUUUGCUUUGUAAAUAUUUCCCAAACUUUCUACAACGAAUAUGUAAUUGGGAAA